CUGAUGAUGAAGUCACAUCGAAAAGAGAUGAAGAUUUUAGCGAUUGGGUUUGCCAAUAUGUGUCUACAAUGAAACAUAUCCAAAGUUUUCCUCCAUGGGUUCAUGAAUUGGUUGAUGGUCCAGAAAACAAAGUCAAGUCGUGGCCCAUGUAUUUUACCAGAGGUUACAUGUUUCACACGCGUGAACACGGGCAGACGAAAAAGACAAUGAAUUAUGGGGUAUGUGUCCGAGGGCAAAAUUAUUCUGAAGCAUCUAUGGAGGAUGAUUUUUUUGGGACCGUUGAAAACAUAAUCGAGCUCGAGUAUCCUGGCAUUAUUAACCUAAAGAUAACACUUUU